rnacentral:rRNA from 1 species
GCAUAUCAAUAAGCGGAGGAAAAGAAAAUAACAAUGAUUCCCCUAGUAACUGCGAGUGAAGAGGGACAAGCUCAAAUUUUAAAUCCGUCGGGUUACACCUGACCGAGUUGUAAUUUUGAAGAGGCGUUUUCCGCGUUUUUGAUCAGUCCAAGUCCUUUGGGAUAGGGCAUCAUGGAGGGUGAGAAUCCCGUUCGGCUGAUCAGAUUCGCUUUACGAUACGUCAUCUAAGAGUCAAGUUGUUUGGGAAUGCAGCUUAAAAUGGGAGGUAAAUUUCUCCUAAGGCUAAAUAACGGCGAGAGACCGAUAGCGAACAAGUACCGUGAGGGAAAGAUGAAAAGAACUUUGAAAAGAGAGUUAAACAGUACGUGAAAUUGUUGAAAGGGAAACGAUUGAAGCCAGUCGUACCGGUGGGUAAUCAGCCUUUCGGCGUGAUUAUGUGGAGCGUGAGGAGUUAAACGCCCUCAUGGCCUGCAUAUUCGUGUUCUUUGGGUGUACUUACCCGCAUGGUAGGUUAACAUCAAUUUCGAACGUCAUAAAAUGGUUGGAGGAAUGUAGCUUCGAUCUCGUAUUGAAGUGUUAUAGACUCCGGCAGAUGUGAUGAUCGGGAUUGAGGAUUGCAACGGAUACCCUUCGGGGCUACCCGUCUGAUCUCUGAAAGUUGCUCUGGUGCCGAAAGCUCGCUUACGGUCAUCAAAGUUGACGUUCAACAGGUUAGAACGGGAUAUUUUCAUGAAGGAUGUUGACGUAAUGGCUUUAAACGAC